CCUACGGGAGGCAGCAGUGAGGAAUAUUGGUCAAUGGCCGCGAGUCUGAACCAGCCAAGUAGCGUGAAGGAUGACUGCCCUAUGGGUUGUAAACUUCUUUUAUCAAGGAGUAAAACGAGCCACGUGUGCCUUUUUGCAAGUACUUUAUGAAUAAGCAUCGGCUAACUCCGUGCCAGCAGCCGCGGUAAUACGGAGGAUCCGAGCGUUAUCCGGAUUUAUUGGGUUUAAAGGGUGCGGAGAUGGGUUGUUAAGUCAGUUGUUAAAAUUUGGGGCUCAACCCUAAAGUUGCAAUUGAUACUGGCAGUCUUGAGUACAGGUGAGGUAUGCGGAAUUCGUGGUGUAGCGGUGAAAUGCAUAGAUAUCACGAAGAACCCCGAUUGCGAAGGCAGCAUACUAGCGUGUGACUGACAUUGAUGCACGAAAGUGUGGGUAUCAAACAGGAUUAGAUACCCCGGUAGUC
rnacentral:rRNA from 1 species